CAGUCGCCGCGGGAAUACGUAGGGUGCGAGCGUUGUCCGGAAUUACUGGGCGUAAAGGGCUCGUAGGUGGUUUGUCGCGUCGUCUGUGAAAUUCUGGGGCUUAACUCCGGGCGUGCAGGCGAUACGGGCAUAACUUGAGUGCUGUAGGGGUAACUGGAAUUCCUGGUGUAGCGGUGAAAUGCGCAGAUAUCAGGAGGAACACCGAUGGCGAAGGCAGGUUACUGGGCAGUUACUGACGCUGAGGAGCGAAAGCAUGGGUAGCGAACAGGAUUAGAGACCCCAGUAGUCCCUGUCUCUUAUA
rnacentral:rRNA from 1 species